AUCACACUCACAGCACACAGACACAAUUAAGGGCCAGGAACAGCUACCCUUAGUGGUCAUGACUUCCAAGGCACACAUGUGAGGGACACGUUAUUUACAAAGGUUUGCACAGAGAAUGAGGCUGACUGUCACCCAUGGUUUGGGUCAUCUGAAGGAUACCAUUUCUUGGAAGAGCUCUGUGAACUUCACCCAUGGAAGUAAUGAGGGGGGAAAAUUUAAAAGAGUUUAAUUAAUUUGCAUCCCUAAAGAACUGUGACAAAAAAUAACUAGGAGCACUGGAAUUGCCUCCUUUGCACAGCUCAUUGCAUCAGAAUUUUUUCUUAAUCUUUGCCUCUCCACUACAGUUUUGUUUGGCAUCUUAUGCGUGAAAUGCGCACUUUGCAUGAAAUAUAUACUUGAAGUUUCUACUA